rnacentral:ncRNA from 1 species
AGUGAUAGAGGUUGCGUGUUUCAUGAGUAGCCGGAGGGACGUGUUCAGGCACGGGAGAAUUCCGGUAAAGGGGGAAUGCGCCGAAAGGAUGCAGAUCCUGAAGCUGUUUUCUUGGGUGUAUGGUGAAUAAUCAUGCAACUGUCAUCAGUCUUCGGGGGCAUCCCGGAUUGAUGGAGCGCUAUCCG